GGCACGUCACGUGGCCCGGCUUCCGGCCCCCGCGCGCGCGCGGUCAGGGCUUGGGACAGUUUGAAAUGCGGAGUCAUCUUUUGAUUCGCGAGCGCGGAGGUCAGACGGAGAGGAAGUUUCGCGCCUCUUUGCCAAGGAUAGACCCGCAUUGAUGCCUCCGAUCCUGGCUUGGCCUAAAUCAAGUUUCCUGAAAACAUGGCGGGGACUCCUCAGGCUAGGGAGGCCAGCAGCUAAGCAGUUCUCUAGAAAUAUCAUGGCUCUCCCUAACAACAGAAGGAACAAAAGAAUCUGAUUGGUCGGACUGAAAGGCUUGCAUCGCAUGUCAGUUAACAAUGAUGGAACACACAAGGCAGCCCCCUAAUCCUUGAUUUCUGAUUGGUGAAAAUUGUAACUGUAACUUGGCAACAAACGUUGGCAAAUUUUAUGCUUAUAAACCUCACUUCUGCCCCUGUUCAGGGCUGUCAGGAGAAACAAGGCUCCUCAGUCCUUGUCCUGCAGCCCUGAUUGGUCAGUGACCCGCUUAUGUGGUGAAUUAUUAAAAUCUUUGGAACUCAUUUGUGUUGUCUCUCUCCUUCCUCGCGGUGCAUAACGGGCUAGGUGCGACAGAUCCUUAUGUCCACAGAUAAGUAAAAUCCUCAGGCCUCAUCAGAGAGCUUAUUUUGUUGUCGUGGGUCGUUAUUCACACAGAGACUCACAACUGGUUGGAAUGCAGAGAAUAAGCUGACUGGGGAAUGCUCAGCCUUAACCGGUUAUUCACACGACCCACCCCAGCCCCACAAGGCCCAGGGAACACUUUGGGAGAGGUGGAGAGAAGUUUGUAAGAGGCAGAGGCAAGGAGAACUGCUACAGAAAAAAAAAAUCACUGUUUUCUGGAUGUGUCAGGACGGUCACACCCACGGACUCACAGCAGAUGUGGGUCCCCGGGAAACACCUGCAAGGUCAAACCAGCGACUUUCUAGCGCUGAUGGGGGAUGGGGCGGGUCUGGGCAACUCCUACUCCUAGCUGAGG